CAGCCGCCACGGUAAUACGAAGGGGGCUAGCGUUGCUCGGAAUGACUGGGCGUAAAGGGCGCGUAGGCGGUUUGAUUAGUUAGGCGUGAAAUUCCCGGGCUCAACCUGGGAACUGCGUUUAAUACAGUCAGACUUGAGUUCGGAAGAGGGUCGUGGAAUUCCCAGUGUAGAGGUGAAAUUCGUAGAUAUUGGGAAGAACACCGGUGGCGAAGGCGGCGACCUGGUCCGAUACUGACGCUGAGGCGCGAAAGCGUGGGGAGCAAACAGGAUUAGAUACCCGAGUAGUCCCUGUCUCUUAUAC
rnacentral:rRNA from 1 species